CCCCUUUCUCUCCGGCCUCCUUCCUUCCUUCUUCCCCCCACACAGCCCAGACACCCAAAACCCGCGGCUCCGCGUCUCCGCCGAAGCGGGAGGCGGGCAAGCGGGAGCGCCAGCCUGCGCGCGCGGGCGUGAAAUUACACUCCCCCUCUCUCUUCUCGCUCCUCCGAUUCCCCACUCGCGAUGGCCGCGCCUCGGCCCCCGCCGCUGGGGCCCCCUGGAGGCGGGCCCGGUGGCAGCGGUGGCGCUGCCCCCGCCGCCGGGGCGCCCGCCGGGGUCAGCAUGCGGAUGUUCCACGGCGAGGUGUUCCUCGGCGAGAUGGAGGUGUUCCCGAUGAAGCAAGGGGGCGAGGGGGGCUUCCCGUUCCCCAGCAACGAGAUCCGCGUCAGCCACCUCUCGCCGCCGAGCGAGAGGUGCCCGCCGCUCGCCAUCCUGCAGACCAUCGCGCCCUUCUCCGUGCGAUGUAAGCUGCAGUCCAAGCUGAUGCCUCCCCUCCCGAGCCUCCACCGCCUGUACCACGUUUGUUUCAACGAGUUCAAGAGUGCGGUGGUAGUGGUUGGAGACGAGGAGCUGCACCUAGUGGCAAUGCCGACCAAGUCGGAAAAGGCGCCGUGCUUCUGGUGCUGCUCAGCACGCUCUGGCCUCUAUGCAUCCUCAGUUAGGAUGCUCAACCUGCGUUGCCUUGCUAUUGUGUUUGAUCUUGAUGAGACCCUUAUUGUUGCUAAUACAAUGAAGUCCUUCGAGGAUCGGAUCGAGAUGCUUUCCCGCAGGAUGGAUGUUGAAGAUGAUCCUGUGAGAAUAGCAGGGAUGUCUGCAGAAAUCAAGCGGUACAUAGAGGACAAGGAGCUUCUCAAAGAAUUUAUAGACACAGAUACAGUUACGGACAAUGGCAAAAUAGUUGGAACCCAAAAGGAGGAGGUUCAACCUAUGUCUGGUGGCCAGGAGCGUGUUCUUCGUCCUGUUAUCAGACUGCCUGGCAGGAAUGCAAUUCUGACGCGCAUCAAUCCGGAGAUUCGUGAUACCAGUGUUUUCGUAAAGCUAAGGCCUGCUUGGGAGGAGUUGAGAAGUUACCUAACAGCAAAAGGAAGAAAAAGAUUUGAGGUGUACGUAUGUACAAUGGCUGAGAGAGAUUAUGCUCUUGAGAUGUGGAGACUUCUUGAUCCAGAAGGCAACCUGAUAAGUCCGCAACAGCUUUCAGAACGCAUAACUUGUGUAAAGUCAGGUUCCAAAAAGUCUCUACAGAAUGUCUUUCGAGAUAGAGGAUGCCAUCCAAAGAUGGCCAUGGUAAUUGAUGACCGACUUAAUGUUUGGGAUGAUAAAGAUCAGCACAGGGUUCAUGUUGUCCCUGCAUAUAUUCCAUACUAUGCCCCACAAGCUGAGAUGGCAAAUGCUGUUCCUGUUCUUUGUGUUGCAAGAAAUGUUGCUUGCAAUGUUCGUGGCGGGUUUUUCAGAGAGUUUGAUGAGAAUCUACUGAGGAAAGUGUUUGAACUAUUCUAUGAAAAUGGGUUACUGGAUCUUCCAUAUGCUCCGGAUGUUGGUGACUACUUAGUCUGCGAGGAUACUAAUUUUGUACCAAGCAAUAAAGAUCAGGCUCCUAUACCUGAGGGCAUGAGGGGAGCUGAAGUGGAGAAGAGAUUGAAUGGGCAGUUGUAUCGGGGGGAGCAAAGGGAAGGACAGCAAAUGUCAUCCUCAACUCGUUCACCAGAUGAUGAGGGGAUGUCAUUUCGAAGCACUGGAGCAGGUAGGAAUGUCCAGCCGAAUGGGGGCGCACUAGCAAUAGCCCCCUCGGUAUUUGUCACGGUGUUACAAGACAUCGGGCGAUUAUGUGACUCCAAGGUGGAAUUCAGAUCUACUGUAAGCAAUGGCAAAAGUAUGCAAUUUUCUGUAGAGGUUCUGUUUAGUAAUGAAAAAAUUGGAGUAGGCAUCGGAAAAACAAGAGAUGAAGCCCAAGUUCAAGCUGCUGAAAAAGCUCUCCGAAAUUUGGAGAGCAGUUAUUUGUCAUUCGUUGCUCCUAUUGCUGGAGUUCCUAACGAAGAUUCAAGGAAGUCCCCAGGGAGUGGAAAUGGCUUUCUGGAGGACGUUACUUGUUCAGACGUUGAUAUUUCCAUGCACGAACCUUCUGGGAGUACAUUGAAACAGGAUCAUUCAAAUAAUUUGGAUAAGUUGUCAUCUGUUAUGAGUCUUAUUAGAGAACAUUGCUUGGAGGACCAGCAUGUAGUGUUUCGAGAUCAAGUCCAGAAUUCUAACCCAGCCAGAAUCGAAGAAUACCAUUUUCAGGUUAAUUAACAUUCAUGCUGACAUUUUUCUUAAUUUUACUGGUAUAGUUCUUGCAUAGCAAUGCAUCAGGGUGUUGCAGUUAAUGUUCUACACUUUGUAAGCACAGACCAAGUCGCACCCAUUUUCAGGUUAAUUAACAUUCAUGAUCACAUUUUUCUUAAUUUUACUGGUAUGCUAUAGUUCUCGCAUAGCAAUGCAUCAGGGUGUUGCAGUUAGUGUUCUACACUUCGUAAACACAGACCAAGUCACACUUGCGACUGCUACCAGCCUUUGGCUCUACUGGUUAUAAGUGUAAGAACCAAUAUAAUAAGACCUGCCAGGUCUGCUAAUUGGAAAGCAGUUGUUUUGUUUCUUCAAAAACGGAAAUAAACAGAAGGGCAGACCUGGCGCAGUGGUGGAGUCUCUCCACCUAUGGCCUGGAGGUCCUGGGUUCGAAUCAGCGUCUUUGCUGAAUUUCAAAAGAAUUUUGCAAGGGUAAGUCUGUCUAAGAAUUACCUUCCCUAGACCCCACCUUGUGGGAGCUUUCGCACAGGAUACACACUUUAAUAACAGAAACACAGAUCAGUGGGAGCUCCGCCCAUGCUGGUUACCACCUGUUUUCUUGACUCGCUUUUUUUUUUUGAAGAAAUUUUUCUUGACUCGCUAAGGGUGAUUAUAUUUGCAUUCAAAUUUAACUUGCCUGCAAGUGUUUUAAGAAACCGAUCCGAGGUGGAUGAAUUGGCCUCUGCACCUGGUGCCAGCUUAUUAAUGCAAUCAGCA